GGCGCACGGGUGCGCACCGCGUAUGGAACCUGCCUUCUACAGGGGAAUAGCCCAGGGAAACUUGGAUUAAUGCCCCGUGGUACCACAUCCCGGCAUCGGGAUGUGGUUAAAGCCUUCGGGCGGUAGAAGAUGGCCAUGCGUCCCAUUAGCUGGUUGGUAAGGUAACGGCUUACCAAGGCUACGAUGGGUAGGGGCCCUGAGAGGGGGAUCCCCCACACUGGUACUGAGACACGGACCAGACUCCUACGGGAGGCAGCAGUGAGGAAUAUUGGACAAUGGGCGAGGGCCUGAUCCAGCCAUGCCGCGUGCAGGAAGAAUGCCCUAUGGGUAGUAAACUGCUUUUAUACGGGAAGAAAAAGGGGCACGUGUGCCCCACUGACGGUACCGUAAGAAUAAGGACCGGCUAACUCCGUGCCAGCAGCCGCGGUAAUACGGAGGGUCCGAGCGUUAUCCGGAAUUAUUGGGUUUAAAGGGUCC
rnacentral:rRNA from 1 species